UGCUGCGGGGUCUGCUCCAAGGGAAGGGCAGCGCGUGCGGACCUGAGGAGGACUGGAUGAGCGGACGCUGCGGGGAAGGUCUGGCAUGCGUCGGCACCGCCUUCUCCAAACACUUGGGCUUCAGUGACUUCGGAGUGUGUAUCAACAAACGCGUCAGUGAGAUGCUGAAGAAAUACACCGAUUCCACGAAGACGGAGAGAUGCGCUCGCUUCGAGAAGCAGUGCAGUGGAGACAAGGUGUGCGUACUGCAGAGUCAUGGGGGCGUGUGCGUCGACCCAUCCACAGCAGCUGAGGUCGAGGCUGCGGUCCGCUCUGCGCAGGAACACAAGAACAACGCCUAGGCGACCGUUACCAAUGACGCCGCCGCCGCCGCCAUAGUUGUGCCUGCGCGUGCGCGUGUUUUUUCUGUAUUUAAUUUCGACAAAAUUUUCGAAUUCUACUUCGACGAUCUUAUUAAUAAAUUGGAUAAUCCUGCAUCCCGCA